UACGAAGGGAGCAAGCGUUGUCCGGAUUUACUGGGCGUAAAGCGUGCGCAGGCGGUUUCUUAAGUCAGAUGUGAAAGCCCCGGGCUUAACCUGGGAACUGCGUUUGAAACUGGGAGACUUGAGUGUGGCAGAGGGGGGUGGAAUUCCACGUGUAGCAGUGAAAUGCGUAGAUAUGUGGAGGAACACCGAUGGCGAAGGCAGCCCCCUGGGUUAACACUGACGCUCAUGCACGAAAGCGUGGGGAGCAAACAGG
rnacentral:rRNA from 1 species